rnacentral:rRNA from 1 species
AACGAACGCUGGCGGCGCGCCUAACACAUGCAAGUCGAACGGGGUGCAUGGAGCUGAUCGCUUCGGUGUGAAGCACCAUGUUACUUAGUGGCGAACGGGUGAGUAACACAUAGGUAACCUGCCCUUAGGAUUGGGAUACUCCCGGGAAACCGGGCACAAUACCGAAUAUGACCCCAGGGUGAAAUGCCCAGGGGUAAAAGCUGCGAGCAAUCGUGGUGCCUGAGGAUGGGCCUGUGGCCUAUCAGCUUGUUGGUGAGGUAAAGGCUCACCAAGGCAAAGACGGGUAGCCGGACUGAGAGGUUGAUCGGCCACACUGGAACUGAGACACGGUCCAGACUCCUACGGGAGGCAGCAGUGGGGAAUUUUGCGCAAUGGGCGAAAGCCUGACGCAGCGACGCCGCGUGGGGGAAGAAGGCCUUCGGGUUGUAAACUCCUUUAGUACGGGAAGAAGCCUUCGGGUGACGUACCGUAAGAGUAAGCACACGCUAACU